rnacentral:rRNA from 1 species
UGGCGGCGCGUUUAACACAUGCAAGUCGCACGAGAAAGUGGAGCAAUCCUUGAGUACAGUGGCGUACGGGUGAGUAACACGUGGGUAAUCUACCUCUUAGUGGGGAAUAUCCCUGGGAAACCGGGGCUAAUMCCGCAUAAGCUCGAGAGAGGAAAGCAGCAAUGCGCUGAGAGAGGAGCCCSCGGCCGAUUAGCUUGUUGGCAGGGUAAAAGCCUACCAAGGCAUAGAUCGGUAGCCGGCCUGAGAGGGCACACGGCCACACUGGCASUGAAACACGGGCCAGACUCCUACGGGAGGCAGCAGUGGGGAAUCUUGCACAAUGGGGGCAACCCUGAUGCAGCGACGCCGCAUGAGCGAUGAAGCCCUUCGGGGUGUAMAGCUCUUUCGUCGGGGAAGAUUAUGACGGUACC